AAAGUCGGAUUGGCUAACAUGAGGUUACUUUUUGUGUAAAAAUUAAAGCAGAGAGGACUUCCUUAUUGCACUGACACAGGUAGACUGGAAUCUUCUGUUCUCAAGAAAAACUAGUCUAUGUUGGAUCUAUCUGCUUCCUUAAAGCUUCUAUUUGAUGACGAGGCAUUUAGCAUGAAUGACUCCAUUUUGGUUUGGUCUCGUCUGUUGGGGCCUAGUACAGGAGUUCAGUCCAAAAUAACGGGCUCCCAUAAUUUUGUUUAACAGCCUAAACUUAAGUUCUUCAGUGAUCUGAAUCCUCAGCUAGACCAAAAUCUUCUGCUAAGUUGCUCUCCUUUUGACUGUCUGGCUGAGCUGUUGAAGGCCACAAAAUAUUUAGCAGGGCUCUUAUCUCUGAAUUGAACAUGUGCCUAGGGGUAUCAAACAGAACAAGACUCCAGAUAGUAAGUAAAUAGUCCUUUUUCUUAUGACAGCUACUUAAUCUGUAACAAAACAAGCAAACAUAAAAGCUAAGUGAUAUCUAAAGCUUACCACCAAGAAAAUAAGUUAGCAACUGAACAAAGCGCCUUCCUUCAGGCUAGAUCUUACAUACACACACAGUAUCGACUUCAAGCCACUUCAGAAGAGACUCAGAAAGCUGCUGCGCCUGGCCUUGCCCUUAGGUUUGUUAGCUUCAGGGUCACAGUCCCAGCGGGGAGCUGACCCAUUAGUCACACCUGCUUCACAGCCCUGCCAGCACUCACGGGGCCCAAUGAGAAGCCACAGGCAUGUUGGUAGCCAGGCCAGGAGACCCAAG
rnacentral:lncRNA from 1 species